rnacentral:rRNA from 1 species
AUUGAACGCUGGCGGCAGGCCUAACACAUGCAAGUCGAAUGGUAACAGGAAACAGCUUGCUGUUUCGCUGACGAGUGGCGGACGGGUGAGUAAUGUCUGGGAAACUGCCUGAUGGAGGGGGAUAACUACUGGAAACGGUAGCUAAUACCGCAUAACGUCGCAAGACCAAAGAGGGGGACCUUCGGGCCUCUUGCCAUCAGAUGUGCCCAGAUGGGAUUAGCUAGUAGGUGGGGUAACGGCUCACCUAGGCGACGAUCCCUAGCUGGUCUGAGAGGAUGACCAGCUACCCUGGAACUGAGGCACGGCCCAGACUCCGACGGGAGGCAGCAGUGGGGAAUAUUGCACAAUGGGCGCAAGGCUGAUGCAGCCAUGCCGCGGGUAUGAAGAAGGCCUUCGGGUUGUAAAGUACUUUCAGCGGGGAGGAAGGGAGUAAAGUUAAUACCUUUGCUCAUUGACGUUACCCGCAGAAGAAGCACCGGCUAACUCCGUG